GACGAACGCUGGCGGCGUGCUUAACACAUGCGAGUCGAACGGAAAGGCCCUGCUUUUGUGGGGUGCUCGAGUGGCGAACGGGUGAGUAACACGUGAGUAACCUGCCCUUGACUUUGGGAUAACUUCAGGAAACUGGGGCUAAUACCGGAUAGGAGCUCCUGCUGCAUGGUGGGGGUUGGAAAGUUUCGGCGGUUGGGGAUGGACUCGCGGCUUAUCAGCUUGUUGGUGGGGUAGUGGCUUACCAAGGCUUUGACGGGUAGCCGGCCUGAGAGGGUGACCUGCCACAUUGGGACUGAGAUACGGCCCAGACUCCUACGGGAGGCAGCAGUGGGGAAUAUUGCACAAUGGGCUGAAGCCUGAUGCAGCAACGCCGCGUGCCGGAUGACGGCCUUCGGGUUGUAAACCGCUUUCGCCUGUGACGAAGCGUGAGUGACGGUAAUGGGUAAAGAAGCACCGGCUAACUACGUG
rnacentral:rRNA from 1 species